rnacentral:lncRNA from 1 species
CCAGCCAUUAGUUAGAGUUGAUUACAAGUGUGAUCAUUAUUAAACGUUCAUGAAGAAUGCAUGAAGAUCAAUUAACAAUAAUAAUGAUAAUAAGAUGAUAAACAACAAUGAAUAAGAAAAACAAAGAGAAUAAAAUGUUAAGAACUCAAAAAUUCCACAGAAAUAGAAUGUAGAAAGGAAAGAAGAAUAGAAGAGAGAACAGAGGAAGAGAAAAGUUCAAAAUAAUUUUCUUAGUGUUUUUCCGUAACCGUAUUCCCUCAUACAACCGAUGAUUAAAAGAGAAAAUAACAGCAAAGAAAGAACGUGGCACGUGGCACUUAAUGUUGUGUAGAAUGCGCCGGAUCACUAACUAUGUGCAUGUUUUUUACUGAUUCAAUUUAAAGAUUGGAACUCACCAUUUUCCUUAAUGACUAACCGUUGCAAUUAACCUUUAUUUAACAGAAUUUUAACUCUUCUCCUUUAACUAAUAUUUUAACCCAUAACAAAUACCGCCUCCCAGAAGAAAAUCCUUGUCCUCAAGGAUGGAAAUGAGGAAAUUUUGUCUGAAGCAUGGUCAGAGACUCCCACGUAGCAUUUUCCGGAAAAGAGUCGAUCCACUCCACUAAAACCUCUGUAACAGCUUGAUUUCCCCGUGACUAUUCUUCUGUCCACAAUCCUUACAGGUUCUUUCUGCAUGCACCAUGAUCAUCAUGCAAAGAGAGAUGAACUUGAGCUGGACUGGAGCCAACGUGUUUCUUCAGUUGCUACAUGUGAAAAGUAGGGUGAAUACGAGAGCCCGUAGGUAACUGUAAGGUGUAAUCCACCUCUCCAACUUUCUUGAGCACCGAAAAGGCCCAUAAUACUUGGGAGAUAACUUCUGAUUAAACACCCUGCGCACUAUCUGUUGUCGAUAGGGCUGCAGUCAUAAAUACACUAGAUGUCCAAUGUUAAAACUCCUUUCUGAGCGAUGUCUGUCAGCAAAUUGUUUCAUGCGAGAUCUAGCCUUUUUUUAAAGUGGAAAUGCAAUAGCUUCCUAGCGCUCUCUCUAGCCUACAAACUCUUGUGUACCACUACCACCGAUGAGGCACCUGCUAAGUAAGGCAUAUGUGUGGGUGGUGGUUGCCUAUGCAAUGCUUCAUAUGGAGUAAGCUGGAUAGAGGAGUGAAAGGAGGAAUUGUACCACCAUUCAGCAAGGGGGAGCCACUGGAACCAUUAUGAAGGUGUU